GAUGAACGCUGGCGGCGUGCCUAAUACAUGCAAGUCGAGCGAACAGACGAGGAGCUUGCUCCUCUGACGUUAGCGGCGGACGGGUGAGUAACACGUGGAUAACCUACCUAUAAGACUGGGAUAACUUCGGGAAACCGGAGCUAAUACCGGAUAAUAUAUUGAACCGCAUGGUUCAAUAGUGAAAGACGGUUUUGCUGUCACUUAUAGAUGGAUCCGCGCCGCAUUAGCUAGUUGGUAAGGUAACGGCUUACCAAGGCAACGAUGCGUAGCCGACCUGAGAGGGUGAUCGGCCACACUGGAACUGAGACACGGUCCAGACUCCUACGGGAGGCAGCAGUAGGGAAUCUUCCGCAAUAGGCGAAAGCCUGACGGAACAACGCCGCGUGAGUGAUGAAGGUCUUCGGAUCGUAAAACUCUGUUAUUAGGGAAGAACAAAUGUGUAAGUAACUAUGCACGUCUUGACGGUACCUAAUCAGAAAGCCACGGCUAACUACGUG
rnacentral:rRNA from 1 species